ACUGUCUCUGGAAGCAUUGUAGGUAUGGUUACCUUGUCACAUAUGUGACAGUAAGUGGCACAGAGGAGAGAGUCUAAGUUUCCUUUCAAUGUUCUCACCUGUGAACAUCUGAAUGGUUAGUACCCUUACACU